rnacentral:rRNA from 1 species
UGAGGAACAUGACCUUCGGCGGGGGAUAGCCGGCCCAACGGCCGGGUAAUACCGCGUACGACCACUUUGGGACAUCCCUCGGUGGUGAAAGCAGCAAUGCGCCGAUGGAGUGCCUCGCGGCCUAUCAGCUAGUUGGUGAGGUAACGGCUCACCAAGGCGACGACGGGUAGCUGGUCUGAGAGGAUGGCCAGCCACAGUUGGGACUGAGACACCGGCCCAGACUCCGUACGGGAGCAG